rnacentral:rRNA from 1 species
UACGUAGGGGGCGAGCGUUGUCCGGAAUCAUUGGGCGUAAAGCGCACGUAGGCGGCUUCGCAAGUCGGAUGUGAAAUCCCUCGGCUCAACCGAGGACGUGCAUCCGAAACUGCGGAGCUUGAGUACUGAAGAGGAUCGCGGAAUUCCCGGUGUAGAGGUGAAAUUCGUAGAUAUCGGGAGGAACACCAGUGGCGAAGGCGGCGAUCUGGGCAGUUACUGACGCUGAGGUGCGAAAGCGUGGGGAGCAAACAGG